rnacentral:rRNA from 1 species
AUUGAACGCUGGCGGCAGGCUUAACACAUGCAAGUCGAGCGGGGUGAUGGUGCUUGCACUAUCACUUAGCGGCGGACGGGUGAGUAAUGCUUAGGAAUCUGCCUAUUAGUGGGGGACAACAUCUCGAAAGGGAUGCUAAUACCGCAUACGUCCUACGGGAGAAAGCAGGGGAUCACUUGUGACCUUGCGCUAAUAGAUGAGCCUAAGUCGGAUUAGCUAGUUGGUGGGGUAAAGGCCUACCAAGGCGACGAUCUGUAGCGGGGCUGAGAGGAUGAUCCGCCACACUGGGACGGAGACACGGCCCAGACUCCUACGGGAGGCAGCAGUGGGGAAUAUUGGACAAUGGGGGGAACCCUGAUCCAGCCAUGCCGCGUGUGUGAAGAAGGCCUUAUGGUUGUAAAGCACUUUAAGCGAGGAGGAGGCUCUUUUGGUUAAUACCCAAGAUGAGUGGACGUUACUCGCAGAAUAAGCACCGGCUAACACUGUGCCAGCAGCCGCGGUAA